rnacentral:rRNA from 1 species
GAUGAACGCUAGCGGCAGGCCUAACACAUGCAAGUCGAGGGGCAGCACAAAGAUAGUUUACUAUUUUGGUGGCGACCGGCGCACGGGUGAGUAACGCGUAUGCAACCUACCUUAUACAGGAGUAUAGCCCGAAGAAAUUCGGAUUAAUCCUCCAUAGUAUUUUCUAAUGGCAUCAUUUGGAAAAUUAAAGCUUCGACAGUAUAAGAUGGGCAUGCGUCCUAUUAGCUAGAUGGUAAGGUAACGGCUUACCAUGGCAACGAUAGGUAGGGGGCCUGAGAGGGUGAUCCCCCACACUGGUACUGAGACACGGACCAGACUCCUACGGGAGGCAGCAGUGAGGAAUAUUGGGCAAUGGAGGCAACUCUGACCCAGCCAUGCCGCGUGCAGGAAGAAUGCCCUAUGGGUUGUAAACUGCUUUUAUUUAGGAAUAAACCCUUCUACGUGUAGAAGGCUGAAUGUACUAAACGAAUAAGCACCGGCUAACUCCGUG